AAUUUCGACCUGAACUCAAGCGUGAGCACCCGCUGAACUUAAGCAUAUCAGUUAGCGGAGGAAAAGAAACUAACAAGGAUUCCCUUA
rnacentral:rRNA from 2 species